rnacentral:rRNA from 1 species
AGAGUUUGAUCAUGGCUCAGGACGAACGCUGGCGGCGCGCUUAACACAUGCAAGUCGAGCGAGAACCUUGCCUUCGGGCUUGGGGACAGCGGCGAACGGGUGAGUAACACGUGGGUAAUCAACCCUCGACACUGGGAUAGCCCGGGGAAACUCGGAUUAAUACCGGAUACCCCAUCUGGCCUUCGGGCCGGCUGGAAAAGGUAGCUUUGGCCUCCGGUCGAGGACGAGCCCGCGGCGGAUUAGCUUGUUGGCGGGGUAAAAGCCCACCAAGGCGACGAUCCGUAGCUGGUCUGAGAGGACGAUCAGCCACACUGGGACUGAGACACGGCCCAGACUCCUACGGGAGGCAGCAGUGGGGAAUCUUGCGCAAUGGGCGAAAGCCUGACGCAGCGACGCCGCGUGAGGGAAGAAGGCCUUCGGGUUGUAAACCUCUUUCAGGAGGGACGAAGCCACUCGGGCUAAUAGCCCAGAGGGUGACGGUACCUCCAGAAGAAGCCCCGGCUAACUACGUGCCAGCAGCCGCGGUAAUACGUAGGGGGCAAGCGUUGUCCGGAUUUAUUGGGCGUAAAGAGCGUGUAGGCGGCCAUACAGGUCAGCUGUGAAAACUCGAGGCUCAACCUCGAGACGUCGGUUGAAACCGUAUGGCUAGAGUCCGGAAGAGGAGAGUGGAAUUCCCGGUGUAGCGGUGAAAUGCGCAGAUAUCGGGAAGAACACCUAUGGCGAAGGCAGCUCUCUGGGACGGUACUGACGCUGAGACGCGAAAGCGUGGGGAGCAAACAGGAUUAGAUACCCUAGUAGUCC